AUCAGGCCGGCCCUCCGUGUUGUAUCUACAGGGCUGGAGGGAUAUUAACGCAGAUAUUCUGGAUUUGCUCAACUGGGAAAUUCAAAUUUAAGCCACAUGGCCUCAUUGGAAAUAUUCAACCUUUCAGCUAUCUUGGCUUUAAAUUGGCAAAUUGGCAAUUCCUGGCAGUCCUGUUUAGUGAAUACAUGGUUUAUGGUGUUU